ensembl:lncRNA
GUUUUGCUGGAGAUCCCUCUGCACUUGAGGCCUUCUGGGGGCAAUGAGUGUCUGAGUCUGUUAGGCCAAACUCCAGAAACCUCACCAGAAUGUCAGCUAUCAAGAUGACAAUUUCUGGAACUCAAGGUAACAAAUUCUGAAGAGGACAAGAUACAGGGCAAGCUGUCUCCAGGCCACGCUACCAUUUAUGGAGGAGUCUUAAAAAAAGACAUACUCUGCUGCAGACCUUGGACCAAAAAUGUUCAGUGCUACAUGAAAGGAAAGGCAUUCCCAGAGAGAGCUGUUCCCUUCCCAUACCUGGGAUUUUUCCCAAGAAGAGUCUGAUUUCUGACAGGUGACCUGAGUGGGCAGUAUCUUUCAUAAAAAGUGAAGAUCCCAUUUCUGAGGCACGAUGCACAGAUAGAAACACUGCUUUGUUUUCCUCACCUUGGGUAUGCAGUUCUGUCUACUGCUAUUACUUCCUGCUCUGUGGAGAAUGCCCAUGGGGAUCCUCUGCUGUCUCUUACUGCACAGCAAGCCCGGGCUUUGGCAUCAACGCCUCUAACUGCCUGAAUAGCCUGCAAAUGAAUCAGAAAAGUAAUAUCUGUAACGAGGUGAAAAAGACUUUAAAUUGCUUUCUCUGACAUCUUUAGCCACCAAAAGAUGCAGAUGCUCCUCCCAUGCUCCAAAGCAGAUCCAGUGAUUGUAACAUCCUUUGAUGGCUGAUGCCAGUGACCCACUCCUGCCUGGUGCUGGUGACUUGCACACUCUUCCAAGUAAUCUGAGUUUCCAUGGAAACUAAAGGGGGGCUAAGACCUAUAUUAUUUACAUUUCUGUAUACUCAUAAUGAGAGAUACAUUAUUUUAAAACUGCAAGCAUGUAAUCAGUAGGAAAAGUUUUCAGUUUGUACUUCAGACAUCUAUAGUACCUCCUCAUGCUUAGUCUGAAUGCGGACCUAGUAACACUGUGUUUUUUUGUUUGUUUGUUUGUUUUUAAUAUCCAAUCCUCCAUCUCUAAAUCAUUGUGGAGAAAAGAUAGAGAGUAAUCAUAUGGUCAUACUAGCAGACCUGAAGUUUGGCAAAUGCUGAUACCACAUUAGGAAUAGUAGCAAAUAGUUGUGUGGUGAAGAGUGGAAAAUAGCUUUUGAGCUCUUGGACCAAUGCUAUUUCAAUUCUGAAAAAAAUACAGCAUCUAUCAAC